UACGUAGGUGGCAAGCGUUGUCCGGAUUUACUGGGCGUAAAGCGUGCGUAGGCGGCUGAUUAAGUCGGAUGUGAAAUCCCUGAGCUUAACUUAGGAAUUGCAUUCGAUACUGGUCAGCUAGAGUAUGGGAGAGGAUGGUAGAAUUCCAGGUGUAGCGGUGAAAUGCGUAGAGAUCUGGAGGAAUACCGAUGGCGAAGGCAGCCAUCUGGCCUAAUACUGACGCUGAGGUACGAAAGCAUGGGGAGCAAACAGGAUUAGAUACCCUGGUAGUCCAUGCCGUAAACGAUGUCUACUAGCCGUUGGGGCCUUUGAGGCUUUAGUGGCGCAGCUAACGCGAUAAGUAGACCGCCUGGGGAGUACGGUCGCAAGACUAAA
rnacentral:rRNA from 1 species